rnacentral:rRNA from 1 species
CAAAGCACUUUGAAGAGAGAGUUAAAGAGGACGUGAAACCGGUAAGGUGGAAACGGAUAGAGUCGGCGUAUCAUUCAAUUAUUCAGUUACAUUAUUUUUAUGUUGUGACCUCUGAGCUCCAGAUUGGGACAGAGGGAAUCAGCAUAAUUUUUUGUGGUGCAUUUACUUGAUUGGUGCUUGGGGAUGUUUGAGGCAGAUUUGUUUCCGUCGUUUUGAGGCCAGCUUGCUGGUACCCAAACGGUGUUAGCAUUUUUUGUCUUGGGCAUUUGAGUAUGGCUCACGUGUAUUUAUUGGACAGAUCUGAGUGUAAGUUACGGUCGCAUGCGACACGUGCUUUUCAAUUAGUUCGGUCCAGUUAAUGCUCUCGUACUCCUUCCCCAUGUAAAAGCCGGUCACCUAUCCGACCCGUCUUGAAACACGGACCAAGGAGUUUAUCGUGUGCGCAAGUUUUUGGGUGUUAAAAACUUAAAAGCGAAAUGAAAGUAAAUGGCUCUUUAGAGUCUGAUGUGCGAUCUUGUAAAAAAGUGCAGCAUGGCCCCAUUCUAACUGUUUACAGUAGGGUGGCGGAAGAGCGUACGCGGUGAGACCCGAAAGAUGGUGAACUAUUCCUGAGCAGGACGAAGCCAGAGGAAACUCUGGUGGAAGUCCGAAGCGGUUCUGACGUGCAAAUCGAUCGUCUGACUUGGGUAUAGGGGCGAAAGACUAAUCGAACCAUC